AACGAACGCUGGCGGCAUGCCUAACACAUGCAAGUCGAACGAGAUCUUCGGGUCUAGUGGCGCACGGGUGCGUAACGCGUGGGAAUCUGCCCUUUGGUUCGGAAUAACAGUUGGAAACGACUGCUAAUACGGAUGAUGACGAAAGUCCAAAGAUUUAUCGCCAGAGGAUGAGCCCGCGUAGGAUUAGCUAGUUGGUGUGGUAAGGCGCACCAAGGCGACGAUCCUUAGCUGGUCUGAGAGGAUGAUCAGCCACACUGGGACUGAGACACGGCCCAGACUCCUACGGGAGGCAGCAGUGGGGAAUAUUGGACAAUGGGCGAAAGCCUGAUCCAGCAAUGCCGCGUGAGUGAUGAAGGCCUUAGGGUUGUAAAGCUCUUUUACCCGGGAUGAUAAUGACAGUACCGGGAGAAUAAGCUCCGGCUAACUCCGUGCCAGCCGCCGCAGUAA
rnacentral:rRNA from 1 species